GUUUUUUUUUUAUGUUUAUCGUUUGUUUUCUCUUUAAUUUGGCUCCAGUAUUCUCUCGUUAUUAGGUUAUAGCUUGAGUUAUAGAUUUCUUACUGCGAUUGUGUUUUGUAUUGAUUUGCCUCUCCUAGAUUGGGUUCUAGGAAAAAGGGAAUCUCUGUGUAUAUCAAUUGGAUGUACGCGGCACACACGGCUUUUCACUGGAUGGUUUCCCAAAAAAGCGUAGCAAACCGAAGCUGUGCCUGAACAAGAAGUUACGGAGGAGCGCGGGACGCUGAAGCGACUGCGGAAUGCUACUCGCCGGGAACUAGGUUGCUUUUCUCAAGUCAAGACGGGGAUUUGUUCGCAUAGCUAUGGAGAAGGGAUGUGAUACAGUGCCAACUUUCGGCUUUUGUUAGUUCUACAUUCAUUGAUGCUAAUUUCUGGAUCGCAAAUUGCUUUAGACUGAAGUCAAUAAAUGGUGGAAGCCUAAUAACAAUUUGUUCCUGCAAAUUGGUAUGGUUCAAAAAUCCCAUUACUUUUGCAAGAUUUAAUUUGCAUUAUAUUUAGUGAUGUAUUCUCUUUUUUCAUAUCCUUUUCACCAGAAAUUAAAUAUUACUAUAACUAGGCAUCAUCACAUUUGAUAGAUGUAGUGCAUUUGGUAAAAGAAUUCAUCAAGUAUCAAGUUGCUUAUUCUAAACUGGGAAUAGUUCAUUAUUUUCUUUGAUGCUGGCCUCAUUUGUGCAUUCUUAAGACCUUAUGUAUACAUAUACGCAGGAUCACACAGUGUAAUUUUUUCCCUUUUUCCUCAACUUGUUCUCUUGUGUGUAGCUGUUGCUAACUUUCUUACAUCAUUGUUUCAUAUCUCAUCUACCUUUCUGCAAACCAAUACAUGUGGUGGUUGGUAAACUGUUAGGUCCAAAGUAUCGUAGAAGGGGGGGGUUGAAUACGAUACUCACUACAAUUUAAAAUUCUUUCGAAUCUUGCGGAUAAAUAAAUUGCAGUCCUGUAAUGGGUUUCGUGUUCCGGAUAUUUAUUGGGUCGGUUUCUGAGGAUAUGAAAA